GCUGGGCGUGGUAGUGCAUGCUUGUAGUCCCAGCUACUUAGGAGGCUGAGAUGGGAGGAUUGCUUGAGCCCAGGAGGUCAAGGGUGCAGUGAACUACGAUUGUGCCACUGCACGCCACAGCCUGGGCAACAUAGCAAGACCUUGUCUCUA
rnacentral:SRP_RNA from 1 species